rnacentral:rRNA from 1 species
GUGAACGCUGGCGGUAGGCCUAACACAUGCAAGUCGAACGGCAGCACAGUAAGAGCUUGCUCUUACGGGUGGCGAGUGGCGGACGGGUGAGGAAUACAUCGGAAUCUACUUUUUCGUGGGGGAUAACGUAGGGAAACUUACGCUAAUACCGCAUACGACCUACGGGUGAAAGCAGGGGAUCUUCGGACCUUGCGCGAUUGAAUGAGCCGAUGUCGGAUUAGCUAGUUGGCGGGGUAAAGGCCCACCAAGGCGACGAUCCGUAGCUGGUCUGAGAGGAUGAUCAGCCACACUGGAACUGAGACACGGUCCGGACUCCUACGGGAGGCAGCAGUGGGGAAUAUUGGACAAUGGGCGCAAGCCUGAUCCAGCCAUACCGCGUGGGUGAAGAAGGCCUUCGGGUUGUAAAGCCCUUUUGUUGGGAAAGAAAAGCAGCAGGUUAAUACCCCGCUGUUCUGACGGUACCCAAAGAAUAAGCACCGGCUAACUUCGUG